rnacentral:rRNA from 1 species
AUUGAACGCUGGCGGCAUGCCUUACACAUGCAAGUCGAACGGCAGCAUGGAAGAGCUUGCUCUUCUGAUGGCGAGUGGCGAACGGGUGAGUAAAGCAUCGGAACGUACCGUGUAGUGGGGGAUAACGUAGCGAAAGUUACGCUAAUACCGCAUACGCACUGAGGUGGAAAGCAGGGGAUCGCAAGACCUUGCGCUAUACGAGCGGCCGAUGUCAGAUUAGCUAGUUGGUAGGGUAAAGGCCUACCAAGGCGACGAUCUGGAGCGGGUCUGAGAGGAUGAUCCGCCACACUGGGACUGAGACACGGCCCAGACUCCUACGGGAGGCAGCAGUGGGGAAUUUUGGACAAUGGGCGAAAGCCUGAUCCAGCCAUGCCGCGUGCAGGAAGAAGGCCUUCGGGUUGUAAACUGCUUUUGUACGGAGCGAAAAGGUCUCCUCUAAUACAGGGGGCUCAUGACGGUACCGUAAGAAUAAGCACCGGCUAACUACGUGCCAGCCGCCGCAGUAA